rnacentral:rRNA from 1 species
AACGAACGCUGGCGGCAGGCUUAACACAUGCAAGUCGAACGCCCCGCAAGGGAGUGGCAGACGGGUGAGUAACGCGUGGGAACGUGCCUUUCGGUUCGGAACAGACCCGGGAAACUGGGAGUUAAUACCGGAUACGUCCUUAGGGAGAAAGAUUUAUCGCCGAAAGAUCGGCCCGCGUCUGAUUAGCUAGUUGGGCGGGGGUAAGUGGCCCACCAAGGCGACGAUCAGCAGCUGGUCUGAGAGGANGAUCAGCCACACUGGGACUGAGACACGGCCCAGACUCCUACGGGAGGCAGCAGUGGGGAAUAUUGGACAAUGGGCGGCAAGCCUGAUCCAGCCAUGCCGCGUGAAGUGAUGAAGGCCCUAGGGUUGUAAAGCUCUUUGUGCGGGAAGAUAAUGACGGUACCGCAAGAAUAAGCCCCGG